GUGGAAUUUUGAUGUUGGCAUGUCUCAAUCAAAUCAAAGCUCUCCAUGGUUAGGUUCUUUACUCUGAUUGAGCUGUGUCAAUAUCACAUUCACUUAA
rnacentral:pre_miRNA from 1 species